GUCGAGGACAAGCUUCUUUGCGAGUGUUGGCGAGACAUUGGACAAGACCCCAAGACGGGCGCCGAGCAAAAGCAUUCAACCUUUUGGAUUCGUGUCCACCGAGAGUUUCAUGAGCGCAAGAAGUUUUCGCCGUACCAAUUUUUGAGCACGCGCGGGUGGGUCUCCAUUUUCAAGCGGUGAAGGGUGAUCCAACAAGAGCGCAACAAGUUUUGCGCCACUCUUGAGAGCGUCAAGGCCCGCCCCGUGAGCGGCAUGGGCAUGCAAGACAUGGUAUGCUAG
rnacentral:rRNA from 1 species